rnacentral:lncRNA from 1 species
GCUUGGGGUAGGGAGGAUGAGAAAGAGCCCCCACUUAUAUAACGACUUGAAAUUAGGUGACUUUUGCUGGGGAGAUUUAGAGAUUUGCGCUUGCGCCAGGUCUGAGGUUGGUUAAAGAUCCUCAAACUUUUUCCCUUAAGAGCCAAUAAACAAACAGACGCCCCGGGAGCUGACUUAAACUCUUGUCGGGCCGGCGUUCACUGGGAUUCUCAGACUCGGAGGAAGGCACACCCCUGCGGCGCUCGCAGGGAAGUCCCUCGGAAGCAGGGCGGGUCACUUUCGGAACUGGGACUCUGGCGUUCCCGGCGGGAAGGGAUCCCUAACCGCCGCCGCCUGGCUCCCCUCGGGCAUUUUAGAGUAAAGGCGGGCGGGGAUCUCUCUGCCCUUCGCCCACGGCCUCGGUACCGUGAACUUGCGUUCUGGGCGCAGCGUUCCUGCGGCACUGCUACGCUAAGGAGCCCUAAGGUAUUCGGGAUCCAGGGGACGCUUCGGAAUCUCACGGGGCAACCUGUCUGCGUCUCGCAUUCCUGCCGGGACGGACCCGUUUCCCCUCCAAGGGCAUCUGGACGCGUCAGCCUUUCCCGAUGUCUUGCUCGCUAUUACCCUUCACUCUUCCAGGUCAUUCCACUGCCCACCGCUACCCCCCUUAAAAGUAAGUAUAUUUCUCAGUUUGGGUCCAUGGAAAUUAUGGAAACCUUAAGGAAACUACUCCCAUUUUGAGGCUGCGCCUCCUCCUGAUGGUCCGUCACUUAGGGCGGUUUUCUAUAAGCCAAGUUUCCUGUGCCUCCACCUUAUUUAUUACCAGCUGCCUUUGGCUGGGUGAGACAUUAACAGGGUGGCAGUGGUCAGGGUUGAGCCAAGCGGGGUAGCCGUCUGCACUGUCCACUGAGUUCCCAUGUCUUCAGGGCACUUCCAUGUCAUGGACACCCUGGAGGUUUCUGAGGCACUGUAGUGUCUGCGAAGUGUUCAAAGUUUAGCAUGGACUGAACUUUCGCUACACAAACAGCAGGGAAUAAAACAAGGGUGACUUUGCA